rnacentral:rRNA from 1 species
GACGAACGCUGGCGGCGUGCUUAACACAUGCAAGUCGAACGAUGAACCCGGAGCUUGCUCCGGUGGAUUAGUGGCGAACGGGUGAGUAACACGUGAGUAACCUGCCCUUGACUCUGGGAUAACUGCGGGAAACUGUAGCUAAUACCGGAUACGACCCUCGGCGGCAUCGCCAGGGGGUGGAAAGAAUUUCGGUUCGGGAUGGACUCGCGGCCUAUCAGCUUGUUGGUGAGGUAAUGGCUCACCAAGGCGACGACGGGUAGCCGGCCUGAGAGGGUGACCGGCCACACUGGGACUGAGACACGGCCCAGACUCCUACGGGAGGCAGCGGUGGGGAAUAUUGCACAAUGGGCGCAAGCCUGAUGCAGCAACGCCGCGUGAGGGAUGACGGCCUUCGGGUUGUAAACCUCUUUUAGCAGGGAAGAAGCGAAAGUGACGGUACCUGCAGAAAAAGCACCGGCUAACUACGUGCCAGCCGCCGCCGUAA